GACGGGCUCGCGGCGGAUUAGCUUGUUGGUGGGGUAACGGCUCACCAAGGCGACGAUCCGUAGCUGGUCUGAGAGGACGAUCAGCCACACUGGGACUGAGACACGGCCCAGACUCCUACGGGAGGCAGCAGUGGGGAAUCUUGCGCAAUGGGCGAAAGCCUGACGCAGCGACGCCGCGUGCGGGAAGAAGGCCUUCGGGUUGUAAACCGCUUUCAGGAGGGACGAAGCCACUCGGGUUAAUAGCCCAGAGGGUGACGGUACCUCCAGAAGAAGCCCCGGCUAACUACGUGCCAGCAGCCGCGGUAAUACGUAGGGGGCAAGCGUUGUCCGGAUUUAUUGGGCGUAAAGAGCGUGUAGGCGGCCAGGUAGGUCAGCUGUGAAAACUCGAGGCUCAACCUCGAGACGCCGGCUGAAACCAUCUGGCUAGAGUCCGGAAGAGGAGAAUGGAAUUCCUGGUGUAGCGGUGAAAUGCGCAGAUAUCAGGAAG
rnacentral:rRNA from 1 species